rnacentral:rRNA from 1 species
CGGACGGGUGAGUAAUGCUUAGGAAUCUGCCCAGUAGUGGGGGACAACUCGAGGAAACUCGAGCUAAUACCGCAUACGCCCUAAGGGGGAAAGCAGGGGAUCUUCGGACCUUGCGCUAUUGGAUGAGCCUAGGUCGGAUUAGCUUGUUGGUGAGGUAAAGGCUCACCAAGGCGACGAUCCGUAGCUGGUUUGAGAGGACGAUCAGCUACACUGGGACUGAGACACGGCCCAG